GUUGUAUAGUCAAGUAAUUAAGUGCAUGUGGUGGAUGCCUUGGCAGUCAGAGGCGAUGAAAGACGUGAUAGCCUGCGAAAAGCUCCGGGGAGGCGGCAAAUAUCCUUUGAUCCGGAGAUGUCUGAAUGGGGGAACCCACCUACUUUAAGGUAGGUAUUGCAACAUGAAUACAUAGUGUUGCAAGGCGAACGAGGGGAAGUGAAACAUCUCAGUACCCUUAGGAAAAGAAAUCAAUUGAGAUUCCCUCAGUAGCGGCGAGCGAACGGGGAUCAGCCCAUUAAGUUAUGUGUGUUUUAGUGGAACGCUCUGGGAAGUGCGAACGUAGAGGGUGAUAUUCCCGUACACGAAAGGGCACACAUAAUGAUGACGAGUAGGGCGAGGCACGUGAAACCUUGUCUGAAUAUGGGGGGACCAUCCUCCAAGGCUAAAUACUCCUGACUGACCGAUAGUGAACCAGUACCGUGAGGGAAAGGCGAAAAGAACCCCUGUGAGGGGAGUGAAAUAGAUCCUGAAACCGCAUGCAUACAAGCAGUGGGAGCACCUUCGUGGUGUGACUGCGUACCUUUUGUAUAAUGGGUCAGCGACUUAUAUUCAGUAGCAAGGUUAACCGUAUAGGGGAGCCGUAGAGAAAUCGAGUCUUAAUAGGGCGUUUAGUUGCUGGGUAUAGACCCGAAACCAGGCGAUCUAUCCAUGAGCAGGUUGAAGGUUGGGUAACACUAACUGGAGGACCGAACCCACUGUCGUUGAAAAGCCAGGGGAUGACUUGUGGAUAGGGGUGAAAGGCUAAUCAAGCCUGGUGAUAGCUGGUUCUCCCCGAAAGCUAUUUAGGUAGCGCCUCGGACGAAUACCAUAGGGGGUAGAGCACUGUUUCGGCUAGGGGGUCAUCCCGACUUACCAAACCGAUGCAAACUCCGAAUACCUAUGAGUACUAUCCGGGAGACAGACUGCGGGUGCUAACGUCCGUAGUCAAGAGGAAAACAAUCCAGACCGCCAGCUAAGGCCCCAAAAUCAUAGUUAAGUGGGAAACGAUGUGGGAAGGCAUAGACANNNNNNNNNNNNNNNNNNNNNNNNNNNNNNNNNNNNNNNNNNNNNNNNNNNNNNNNNNNNNNNNNNNNNNNNNNNNNNNNNNNNNNNNNNNNNNNNNNNNNNNNNNNNNNNNNNNNNUAUACUUUGUAUACGUGGUAGGGGAGCGUUCUGUAAGCCGAUGAAGGUGUGUUGAGAAGCAUGCUGGAGGUAUCAGAAGUGCGAAUGCUGACGUGAGUAACGACAAAACGGGUGAAAAACCCGUNNNNCCCCUAAGGCGAGGCCGAAAGGCGUAGUCGAUGGGAAAAUGGUUAAUAUUCCAUUACUUCUGUGUAAUGCGAUGAGAGGACGGAGAAGGCUAAAUCAGCCUGGCGUUGGUUGUCCAGGUGAAAGGAUGUAGGCAUGUAUCUUAGGCAAAUCCGGGGUACUCUAUGCUGAGAUCUGAUAGCAAGCUGUACUUGUACAGCGAAGUGGUUGAUGCCAUGCUUCCAGGAAAAGUCUCUAAGCUUCAGUUACACAGGAAUCGUACCCGAAACCGACACAGGUGGUCAGGUCGAGUAGACCAAGGCGCUUGAGAGAACUCUGCUGAAGGAACUAGGCAAAAUGGUACCGUAACUUCGGGAGAAGGUACGCUGUUGUUGGUGAUGGAACUCGCUUCCUGAGCUGACGACAGCCGCAGAAACCAGGCCGCUGCAACUGUUUAUUAAAAACAUAGCACUCUGCAAACACGAAAGUGGACGUAUAGGGUGUGAUGCCUGCCCGGUGCUGGAAGGUUAAUUGAUGGGGUUAGCGUAAGCGAAGCUCUUGAUCGAAGCCCCAGUAAACGGCGGCCGUAACUAUAACGGUCCUAAGGUAGCGAAAUUCCUUGUCGGGUAAGUUCCGACCUGCACGAAUGGCAUAAUGAUGGCGGCGCUGUCUCCAGCAGAGGCUCAGUGAAAUCGAAAUCGCUGUGAAGAUGCAGUGUACCCGCGGCUAGACGGAAAGACCCCGUGAACCUUUACUGCAGCUUGACACUGAACUUUGACCUUACUUGUGUAGGAUAGGUGGGAGGCUUUGAAGCUGGAACGCUAGUUCCAGUGGAGCCGUCCUUGAAAUACCACCCUGGUAAUGUUGAGGUUCUAACUCUGUCCCGUGAUCCGGGACGAGGACCGUGUCUGGUGGGUAGUUUGACUGGGGCGGUCUCCUCCUAAAGAGUAACGGAGGAGUACGAAGGUGCGCUCAGCGUGGUCGGAAAUCACGCGUAGAGUAUAAAGGCAAAAGCGCGCUUAACUGCGAGACCCACAAGUCGAGCAGGUACGAAAGUAGGUCUUAGUGAUCCGGUGGUUCUGUAUGGAAGGGCCAUCGCUCAACGGAUAAAAGGUACUCUGGGGAUAACAGGCUGAUACCGCCCAAGAGUUCAUAUCGACGGCGGUGUUUGGCACCUCGAUGUCGGCUCAUCUCAUCCUGGGGCUGAAGCAGGUCCCAAGGGUAUGGCUGUUCGCCAUUUAAAGAGGUACGCGAGCUGGGUUUAGAACGUCGUGAGACAGUUCGGUCCCUAUCUACCGUGGGCGCUGGAAAUUUGAGAGGAUCUGCUCCUAGUACGAGAGGACCAGAGUGGACGAACCUCUGGUGUACCGGUUGUGACGCCAGUCGCAUCGCCGGGUAGCUAUGUUCGGAAGGGAUAACCGCUGAAAGCAUCUAAGCGGGAAGCCUACCUCAAGAUAAGAUUUCCCUAGGACUUUAUGUCCUCUAAAGAGCCGUUCGAGACUAGGACGUUGAUAGGUUGGAUGUGGAAGCAUAGUGAUAUGUGAAGCUGACCAAUACUAAUUGCUCGUGAGGCUUGACUAUACAACACCCAAGCAGUUG
rnacentral:rRNA from 1 species